UACGUAGGGGGCAAGCGUUGUCCGGAAUCACUGGGCGUAAAGGGUGCGUAGGCGGGUCUUUAAGUCAGGGGUGAAAUCCUGGAGCUCAACUCCAGAACUGCCUUUGAUACUGUAGAGCUUGAGACCGGAAGAGGUAAGUGGAACUGCGAGUGUAGAGGUGAAAUUCGUAGAUAUUCGCAAGAACACCAGUGGCGAAGGCGGCUUACUGGUCCGGUUCUGACGCUGAGGCGCGAAAGCGUGGGGAGCAAACAGG
rnacentral:rRNA from 1 species